UACGUAGGGUGCGAGCGUUGCCCGGAUUUAUUGGGCGUAAAGGGCGCGUAGGCGGCCACGCACGUCCGUUGUGAAAUCGCCCGGCUCAACUGGGCGGGGUCAGCGGAUACGGUGUGGCUAGAGCAAGCUAGGGGGCAAUGGAAUUCCCGGUGUAGUGGUGGAAUGCGUAGAUAUCGGGAGGAACACCAGUGGCGAAGGCGACUACCUGGCCCGUUCUUGACGCUGAGGCGCGAAAGCUAGGGGAGCAAACGGG
rnacentral:rRNA from 1 species